GAUGAACGCUGGCGGCGUGCCUAAUACAUGCAAGUCGAGCGAACGGACGAGAAGCUUGCUUCUCUGAUGUUAGCGGCGGACGGGUGAGUAACACGUGGAUAACCUACCUAUAAGACUGGGAUAACUUCGGGAAACCGGAGCUAAUACCGGAUGAUAUUUUGAACCGCAUGGUUCAAAAGUGAAAGACGGUCUUGCUGUCACUUAUAGAUGGAUCCGCGCUGCAUUAGCUAGUUGGUAAGGUAACGGCUUACCAAGGCAACGAUGCAUAGCCGACCUGAGAGGGUGAUCGGCCACACUGGAACUGAGACACGGUCCAGACUCCUACGGGAGGCAGCAGUAGGGAAUCUUCCGCAAGGGGCGAAAGCCUGACGGAGCAACGCCGCGUGAGUGAUGAAGGUCUGCGGAUCGUAAAACUCUGUUAUUAGGGAAGAACAUAUGUGUAAGUAACUGUGCACAUCUUGACGGUACCUAAUCAGAAAGCCACGGCUAACUACGU
rnacentral:rRNA from 1 species